UACAGAGGUCCCAAGCGUUGUUCGGAUUCAUUGGGCGUAAAGGGUGCGUAGGCGGCGCGCUAAGUCAGGUGUGAAAUUUCGGAGCUUAACUCCGAAACUGCAUUUGAUACUGGCGUGCUUGAGGACUGGAGAGGAGACUGGAAUUUACGGUGUAGCAGUGAAAUGCGUAGAGAUCGUAAGGAAGACCAGUGGCGAAGGCGGGUCUCUGGACAGUUCCUGACACUGAGGCACGAAGGCCAGGGGAGCAAACGGG
rnacentral:rRNA from 1 species